UACGUAGGUGGCAAGCGAUACUCGGAAUCACUAGGCGUAAAGCGCAGGUAGGCGGUUUGAUAAGUCUGUUGUGAAAGCUCCCGGCUUAACUGGGAGAGGUCAACGGAAACUGUCAGGCUAGAGUGUGGUAGAGGUAGCUGGAAUUCCCGGUGUAGCGGUGAAAUGCGUAGAGAUCCGGAAGAACACCGGUGGCGAAGGCGGCCUGCUGGGCAGUUUUGCUGACACUGAGGCGCGACAGCGUGGGGAGCAAACAGG
rnacentral:rRNA from 1 species